GUUCAUGACGUUUGCCAUCCGGUAACGGUCCCUUUUCACUUUUCCUUUUUUCCCCCAAUCCGCUAUGUCAGAUCUGUUUCCUUCCUAUUCCCGGUUAUUUCUCAGACAAGAACGACCCGAACAAAUAUACUUUCAAAACUAUUCUAGCCACAUAUUUCAAGAAGUAACCCAGAGUGUGAUAUUUCUAUUAACUGCGUUAUUGUUGUCAUUAAAGCCUCAACGGCUAAUGUACAGGACGUUUCACUACUAUGCUAACAUCAGCCCCCGGUUUUGUAUAUGGACCGCAGAGGACAUGCGCAGAACAGUGAACGAGGCCGGUUAACGGUGAAGAAAGCAGAAGUUAUAAGUCUGCAGAAACAGUACCAACAAACCGAACUUCAAUCAAGCACUGAGCAGCAAGGCACAGGACACACAGAUGAUUCUUCACAAAUGAAGAAUGAAAGUUAACUGAAAAUAGCCAGAGAGGGAAAAAACUUCCGGUAAGCCCAAUAUCGUGAUUUGCCAAUAUACCGAUCCAAUGCCACAGGAAGUGUUGUUUUCCAGGGUGGCCUCCCAGUCUGUCCCCUUAUUGUCCCUCUUAAUGCCCAUGUCAACAGGGCCAGGCGGCUUUUUGAGCUGCACAGCAGUCAAACAGCAGGGAAAUCUCUGUCCAGGGAGACACCCUCUUUUGUAAUGGGUCAAAGGUCAUGAGUGAAGAGGAUGUCAUGGGUUGGAGUCAGCACUUUGGCCCCAUGUGGCUACAUCAUGCUGUUGACAGGCAUGAAUAGUGAGGGGCCAGGGAGUGAGGGCCCACUGGCAGCAGGGAGAAGAAUGAAUCAUGUAUUCAUACAGAUGUACUGAGGUCAGAUAGUCCUUUGACAUAAAUUAUAUGACAUGGUGCUUUAUGUUAUACAAUGCACUGCUCCAUGACCUAUUGAAAUUGAAUAGUAUUACAUGAACUCCUGUAAUGUAAAAUCUUAGCCCAUUACCUUUUAUAAUACAAUGUACAACUCUAUUACCUACAAAUAUAUACUAUUCCAUUACGCGUUAUAAUGUAACAUUUUAUUAGCUACUGUAAUGUAAAAUUGACAUUAUCCCAUUACAUAUUUUAACUAUUGUAAUACUACCUUUAUUAACUAUUGUAAUAUGAAUGUGGCUGCUUUAUUUGUACUACAGUAUAAUGUCAUAUCCAAUUGGUCACUUAAUAUAACAUAUCAUUCUACUGUGUAAUGUAAUAAUCUACUAUAUAUCCUAUUGUAAUAUAACAUGCUUCUCUGUACCAAAUUUUAAUAUAAUGCCCCAUUCCAUCACCUAUUAUAUGUAUUUCAUGUUUAUAUCAUUGUAUGUAACUUUCUUCAUUGUCUUUAUUUGAUUACCUGUACUCUCUUUUACAUAUCAUAGAUAAUAUAUUACUUCAUUUCACUGACUAGAGUAAUCUACUAUUCAAUUCAAUUCAAAAUACUUUAUUUGUCUCUUAAAUGACACUUUGAGGCAACCUAUUUUGCAAACAAAGCACACAAUCUGUUUGCAAAAAUACUACAUGAUUACACAUGAUUAAUGGAAGGGGCUAAUCCAUAGCUGAGCAAGUGUCAAACAAAGGCACAUUGUCAAAAAGUGGGAAAAAAAAGCAGUACAUCAGUCUAUAUUCUGUAAAUUUGUCCAUGCAAUCCAGAAUGACACAUAGAAGUGUUUUCUGGUCUGAUGCCCCGAUCAGCAAAACCACAAAACUGUCGAAAAAUAAAUAUAUUGAGGAGAGGAGUGAGGAGAAAAUACUAUGGUUGAGGUCUGGUUAGGUUUAGGAAAAGAGCAUGACUUGAAUUAAAAUAAGUACUCGCUUAAAGUUAGAGAAAUAUCAUGGCUUGUGUUAAAAUUACUUCUUGCUUAGGUUUAGCGGAUCUUCAUCAUCAUGGUUACUAUAGUAACUAUGUGGUUAAGGUUAGUCCUGGUCGUGGUCUUUAAAAAACAAUGUGAAAUCGCAUUUGGACACAAGAAAAGAACAGUAAUCCACCAUGUUAAAGUCCAGUGUUUUGUUCUGGUCAUAAUUACAAUGGCCACUAGAGGGCAUCUGUCACUUGAAUGUGAAUAUAUGUUGUUUUAGGGACUGAUUGUGUCGUUUUUUGGGGGGGGCACAGUCUCUUUGGAAAAGCUAUAAACACUUUGACACAUCAUUCAAACCAGUUCGAUUGAAGCAUAAUCAACCCUUUAUCCAACUUUCUAAUCCUGCAACAUGAGACAAGACCAACGUUUACUGUUUGUAUAUCUUCUGGUUCUAGAUGUCACCAAGCAUUAGCUGCCUACAGUUACAUUUCCUGGCCCUGUCUGACAUUUAUGGUGGUUUCUGAUUGGCAAUCUGGUGAUUCCCUUAAGUGCAACCCAGUCCAUGACCUCCUCCUGAUGCCCAACCAGAUGAAUCCUUUACAAAUGGAAAGUUACCAAUCCACCACAGCUUGAAGGUUGGGUGGAGGAGGUUAUGACUCUUCUCAUUGUUCUACCACAACAUUUUUAAGGUUUGGCAAGUGUUUUUAAAUUAUUCUGAACAGGAAUUCCCCUCUAU